rnacentral:lncRNA from 1 species
UGUAGAGUUGGAAAUCCUAAAACUGAGAACUUGGAUAAGGGAAAAGAAUCACGGCUGUUGGCAGCUCUAUUGCCACGCUGGCCUUUACCCUCUCCUCUGUUGCCUGGCCUAACAUCUGUGUCCACAAUUCCACCAUUCUGUUUUACUGUAUCUUCAGAUGUACUUGGACUUCAGAUGUUUACCCAAAUGCACUAUGAGGCCUGAACCAGGGAGUCAGCCAUUCGAGUUUGCUGAAAGGAAGAUUUUUGUGGUCAAGUUUU